UACGUAGGUGGCAAGCGUUGUCCGGAUUUACUGGGCGUAAAGAGCGCGCAGGCGGUCGUUCAAGUCGCGUGUGAAAGCCCCCGGCUCAACUGGGGAGGGUCAUUCGAUACUGAUCGACUCGAAGGCAGGAGAGGGUAGUGGAAUUCCCGGUGUAGUGGUGAAAUGCGUAGAUAUCAAGUGGAACACCAGUGGCGAAGGCGAGUCCCUGGAAAACUCCUGACACUGAGGCACGAAAGCUAGGGGAGCAAACAGG
rnacentral:rRNA from 1 species